UAUGGGAAUGAAGGGUGUAUGGUGGAUGCCUUGGCUUUACAAAGCGAUGAAGGACGUCGAAUGGCUGCGAUAAGUUCCGGUGAGGUGCCAAUCAACCUUUGACCCGGAAAUGUCCCAAUGGGGAAACCCUACUGCUAUCAGCAGUAACCUAUGUAUGUAGGAGCGAACGCAGGGAACUGAAACAUCUAAGUACCUGUAGGAAUAGAAAGCAAUAUAUGGAACUUUCGUUCUGGAUUACACUAUUUUGAAUUUAUUCAAAAUGCCAUUGUAUUCAGGACGAAGGUUCUUGCGAUUCCCUUAGUAGCGGCGAGCGAAACGGGAACAGCCCAAACCAUACGUAUUUAUAUGUGUGGGGUUGUAGGACGGAGUCUGCAUUUAGUUGCAGAGAGUUACAAAUUGUAUAGAUAGCAAAACAAGCUGGGAAGCUUGACUCUAAAGGGUUAUAGUCCCGUAUGCGAAAUUUAUACGACUCUCGUGGUUCCGCUCCUGAGUAGUCCGAGACAUGAAUAGCUCGGAUGAAUCUGCGAGCACUAACUCGUAAGGCUAAAUAUAUGUAAAGACCGAUAGUGAACUAGUACCGUGAGGGAAAGGUGAAAAGAACCCCGGAAAGGGGAGUGAAAUAGAUCUGAAACCAUACAUCUACAAGGAGUUGGAGACCUGCGGGUCGACAGCGUGCCUAUUGAAGAAUGAGCCGGCGAGUGUAUCUUUGUCCUUUGUCUAAGUGGUAACCCCACGGAGGCGCAGUGAAAGCGAGCGUGAAUAGCGCGAAUAUAGGGCAGGGAUACGACCCGAAACGGGAUGAGCUUGCCAUGAGCAGGGUGAAGCGGCAGUAAAAUGCCGUGGAGGCCCGAACCGGUUGACCGUACAAAAUCAUCGGAUGACUUGUGGUAAGGAGUGAAAAGCUUAUCGAAUUCCGUAAUAGCUGGUUCUCUCCGAAACAGCUUUAGGGUUGGCGUCGCGUGAUCCCUCUGGGGGUAGAGCACUGGAAAGGAAGAACAGGGCGAAAGCUCGUCUUUCUUAUCAAACUCCGAAUACCAGUAGGUUACAGCGCGGCAGUUAGACUAUGGGGGAGAAGCUCCAUUGGUCGAAAGGGAAACAGCCCAGAUCGCCAGUUAAGGUCCCUAAAUAUAUACUUAGUGCAAAACAAGGAGGUGAGGAUUCACCAACAGCCAGGAGGUUGGCUUAGAAGCAGCCAUCCUUUAAAGAUAGCGUAACAGCUCACUGGUCGAGAGUCCUUGCGCCGCAAAUGAACGGGGCUCAAGUAUAUUACCGAAACUGCGGAUUUUAUAUUUCUUCGGAAAUAUGGAGUGGUAGGAGAGCAUUCCAUUCUGCUAUGAAGCCAACGGGAGACCGACGGUGGAGCGUAUGGAAGAGAGAAUGCCGGCACAAGUAACCGCAAGGAGGGUGAGACCCCCUCCCGCCGAAAUACCGAGGUUUCCUGGGCUAUGAUAAUCAGCCCAGGGUUAGUCGGUCCUAAGCAGAUCCCGAACGGGGGAUGCGAUGGAUAGCAGAUUAAUAUUUCUGCACACUGAUGUGUUGCGAUGGAGGGACGGAGCGUUGUACUCUUUACAUCUUAUUGGAUUGAUGUUGGAGCUAUGAGGGUGUUAUUUAGGCAAAUCCGGAUAACAUUAAACCCAAGUAGAGUCUGAAUGUGAAGCUACGGCUGAUCAGAAAAGGGGAGCACGCUUCCGAGAAAAACUUCUAAGCAUAAACACAUUGGUACCGUACCUAAACCGACACAGGUGGUAAGGUCGAGAAGACCAAGGCGAACGAGUGAGAGGUCCUUAAGGAACUCGGCAAAAAAGCGACCGUAACUUCGGGAUAAGGUCUGCCCACAUACCUUCGGGUAUCAGUGGGCCGCAGCGAAAGAUUUCCUGGCGACUGUUUACCAAAAACACAGCUCCCUGCGAACUCGUAAGAGGAUGUAUAGGGGGUGACGCCUGACCAAUGCCGGAAGGUUAAACACGGAUGGUGAAAUGAACUUCGGUUUGUUUUGCUGGGCUGUGUAAGCCCCGGUCAAUGUCAGCGAUAACUAUAAUCGUUCUAAGGUAGAGCGCAUUUCCAAACUUAUGUAUAAGAUGGAAGUUCGUUCUACGGACUGGAACGAUUAUAGGGUAAGCAGCCUGAGCCACAGUUACCUUGCGUACAGUAAUGUCCGCAUAGUCCGACUGUAACCAACAAGAGACCAAAUGUUACACAACCAACCUUUAGUAAUGAAGCGGUUGAAGAUAGAGUCCUAUUGUGCACGUAUACAUUGAAGGCGUAUACACAAAUAAAGGAAAAAUAGAGCGUAUUUCCUUGUCGGGUAAGUUCCGACGUGCACGAAUGGCGUAACGACCGGGAAACUGUCUCAAGGACCUGCUCGGUGAAAAUACAAUCCCGGUAAAGAUGCCGGGUACCUGCAGUUAGACGAAAAGACCCCAGGAGCUUUACUGUAGCUUCGUAUUGGGGCUGUUGAAUUUAUGUGUAGUAUAGUGGGGAGACUUUGAAGCGGGCUUUCGGGUACCGUGGAGUCGCAAUAUGAAAUACCCAUCUUAAUUUCGGCAGUCUCUAACCUGGAGGGAAAAACCUUUCAGGGACAGUGCGUGGUGGGCAGUUUUAGUGGGGCGCUACCCUCCUAAAGAGUAACGGAGGGGUCUCAAGGUCAACUAGUCGCGAAUGGAAACCGUGAUGAUAGUGCAAUGGCAUAAGUUGGCUUGACUGUAAGGCGUAGAUGCCGAACAGAUACGAAAGUAGAGCAUAGUGAACCGAUGGUAUGCUUUAGAUGCAUCCGGAGAUUACCCGAUAAAAGUUACCCUGGGGAUAACAGGCUAGUAUUGCCCAAGCGUCCAUAGCGACGGCAAUGUUCGGCACCUUAAAUUUUGUUUAUGAAAGUUUACAUUACAUCGGGGUGCCUAGCGCAGUAAUGUGCUACCAAAACCAAUUGGCUAUAUGCUGGAACUCCCAAGCCUAAAAACAAAAGCAU
rnacentral:rRNA from 1 species